CGAGGAUAAGGAGAACAAGUCCCUGGGGCUGUCCCCAGGGCUGGUUGGGGCGCGCGGCUGGGAGGCGCCCUGCCACCGCCAGGAUGCGCUCGGUGUAGCGGGACUGCCGGGGGGCGCCUGAAGGCCAGCGCUCCAAGGACACGCGGCCACCCGCUCCUCACGGGCUCCCGGGCCCAGACGCCCCGCAGCGCCGGAGCCGAGCCGCGGGGAGUGCGGGCGAAGGGUGGCAGGAGGGAGGGCGCGCGCGAGGCGGCCCCUCCUCGGCGAGCCAUGCGUGCCACGGGCCGCUGAGGAGCCGCCGGGCGCCGCUGCCAAGUCUCCGCUCCGCUUUUGUCUUGCCCUCCAGUGAAUGGGAAGAUGGAGAUGGAUGUGGAGGGAGUUUCUCCGCGCCCGGAGCCCAUCCCCCGCUCCCAGGGGGCUGGCGGAGCCAGCCAGGCGCCGCCACAACCGCCCCAGCCCCAGCCGCAGCCCCAGCAGCAGCUGGCUCAGGAUGAAGUGCCCGGCGAGAGUGCGGGUGCUGAGGACAGCGACGAUCUGGAGGCGAGACCCAACGGCGAGAGGGGGGAGAGCAAGAGAUUGCAUGGCCCGUGGCGGACUCCAGCGCAACCUCUGCGGAAUCUACCUGAUUCCAAACCACUGGCACUUCCGGCACACAAAGCCCCUAGCGAAGAGGAGGCAAGAGAAGCCAGCUAGGAAGAGGCCCAUCACUUGGCUACAAAGCAGAUGGACCACCUCCUCAGGGCUCCUGGAAACUGCUGAAGCACAAUGAGGGAGGUGACAUCACUCACAGGAAGGAAUCAAGCAUUUACAGUGGACUUGAGACUGCAUCCUUCAGACUGAAGUCCUGAGGCCCAGUUCUGAGUCAGACUCUCUCUCUCUCUCUCUCUCUCUCUCUCUCUCUCUCUCUCUCUCUCAUUUUUCUUUUCUUGGCUCAGGAAAUUUUAACCAGGAAUUGCUUUAAUAGGUAUAAUUAGCUAUAGUUUUGUUCCCUAAUCAGCCUUGUUUCUAAACACAUUACUAGGAAUCUAGGAGGGUCCAACCAGCGCCACAGCAUAUUAGCUGAAGAAUCCAGAGUCUACUCUUGGAGUUCAUAAGUCCCACUAAUAAAAAUAAUAUAAGAGCUGACCCA
rnacentral:lncRNA from 1 species